GACGAACGCUGGCGGCGUGCUUAACACAUGCAAGUCGAACGGUAAGGCCCUUCGGGGUACACGAGUGGCGAACGGGUGAGUAACACGUGGGUGAUCUGCCCUGCACUUCGGGAUAAGCCUGGGAAACUGGGUCUAAUACCGGAUAGGACCACUGCCUGCAUGGGUGGUGGUGGAAAGCUUUUGCGGUGUGGGAUGGGCCCGCGGCCUAUCAGCUUGUUGGGGGGGUGCUGGCCUGCCAAGGCGACGACGGGUAGCCGGCCUGAGAGGGUGACCGGCCACACUGGGACGGAGAUACGGCCCAGACUCCUACGGGAGGCAGCAGUGGGGAAUAUUGCACAAUGGGCGCAAGCCUGAUGCAGCGACGCCGCGUGAGGGAUGACGGCCUUCGGGUUGUAAACCUCUUUCAGCACCGACGAAGCGCAAGUGACGGUAGGUGCAGAAGAAGGACCGGCCAACUACGUGCCAGCAGCCGCGGUAA
rnacentral:rRNA from 1 species